UAUACGACCGUACCGCAAACCGACACUGGUGCGCGAGAUGAGUAUUCUAAGGCGCUUGAGAGAACUCAGGAGAAGGAACUCGGCAAAUUGACACCGUAACUUCGGAAGAAGGUGUGCCCUAUUAGUGUGUAGUGAACAACGAAGCAUGAAUGGGUUGCAAAAAAUCGGUGGCUGCGACUGUUUAUUAAAAACACAGCACUCUGCAAACACGAAAGUGGACGUAUAGGGUGUGACGCCUGCCCGGUGCUGGAAGAUUAAAUGAUGGGGUGCAAGCUCUUGAUUGAAGUCCCAGUAAACGGCGGCCGUAACUAUAACGGUCCUAAGGUAGCGAAAUUCCUUGUCGGGUAAGUUCCGACCUGCACGAAUGGCGUAACGAUGGCCACACUGUCUCCUCCUGAGACUCAGCGAAGUUGAAAUGUUUGUGAUGAUGCAAUCUCCCCGCGGAAAGACGGAAAGACCCCAUGAACCUUUACUGUAGCUUUGUAUUGGACUUUGAACAGACCUGUGUAGGAUAGGUGGGAGGCUUUGAAGCAGGGUCGCUAGAUCUUGUGGAGCCAACGUUGAAAUACCACCCUGGUGUGUUUGAGGUUCUAACCUAGGUCCAUUAUCUGGAUCGGGGACAGUGCAUGGUAGGCAGUUUGACUGGGGCGGUCUCCUCCCAAAGCGUAACGGAGGAGUUCGAAGGUACGCUAGUUACGGUCGGACAUCGUGACGAUAGUGCAAUGGCAUAAGCGUGCUUAACUGCGAGACUGACAAGUCGAGCAGAUGCGAAAGCAGGACAUAGUGAUCCGGUGGUUCUGUAUGGAAGGGCCAUCGCUCAACGGAUAAAAGGUACUCUGGGGAUAACAGGCUGAUACCGCCCAAGAGUUCAUAUCGACGGCGGUGUUUGGCACCUCGAUGUCGGCUCAUCUCAUCCUGGGGCUGUAGCCGGUCCCAAGGGUAUGGCUGUUCGCCAUUUAAAGAGGUACGUGAGCUGGGUUUAAAACGUCGUGAGACAGUUUGGUCCCUAUCUUCCGUGGGCGCUGCAGAUUUGAGGAAGCCUGCUCCUAGUACGAGAGGACCGGAGUGGACACACCUCUGGUGUAUCGGUUGUCAUGCCAGUGGCAUUGCCGAGUAGCUAAGUGUGGAAGAGAUAACCGCUGAAAGCAUCUAAGCGGGAAACUCGUUUCAAGAUGAGAUCUGCCGGGGCCUUGAGCCCCCUAAAGAGUCGUUCAAGACCAGGACGUUGAUAGGUCAGGUGUGGAAGC
rnacentral:rRNA from 1 species